rnacentral:rRNA from 1 species
CGGGUGAGUAAUGUAUGGGGAUCUGCCUGAUGGCGGGGGAUAACUACUGGAAACGGUAGCUAAUACCGCAUAACGUCGCAAGACCAAAGAGGGGGACCUUCGGGCCUCUUGCCAUCGGAUGUGCCCAGAUGGGAUUAGCUAGUAGGUGGGGUAACGGCUCACCUAGGCGACGAUCCCUAGCUGGUCUGAGAGGAUGACCAGCCACACUGGGACUGAGACACGGUCCAG